CAAUGGGCGAAAGCCUGACGGAGCAAUACCGCGUGAGGGAGGAAGGCUCUUGGGUUGUAAACCUCUUUUCUCAGGGAAGAAAACAAUGACGGUACCUGAGGAAUAAGCAUCGGCUAACUCCGUGCCAGCAGCCGCGGUAAUACGGAGGAUGCAAGCGUUAUCCGGAAUGAUUGGGCGUAAAGCGUCCGCAGGUGGCUGUGUAAGUCUGCUGUCAAAGAGCAAAGCUCAACUUUGUAAAGGCAGUGGAAACUACACGGCUAGAGUGCGUUCGGGGCAGAGGGAAUUCCUGGUGUAGCGGUGAAAUGCGUAGAGAUCAGGAAGAACACCGGUGGCGAAGGCGCUCUGCUAGGCCGCAACUGACACUGAGGGACGAAAGCUAGGGGAGCGAAUGGGAUUAGAUACCCCAGUAGUCCUAGCCGUAAACGAUGGAUACUAGGCGUGGCUUGUAUCGACCCGAGCCGUGCCGUAGCUAACGCGUUAAGUAUCCCGCCUGGGGAGUACGCACGCAAGUGUGAAACUCAAAGGAAUUGACGGGGGCCCGCACAAGCGGUGGAGUAUGUGGUUUAAUUCGAUGCAACGCGAAGAACCUUACCAAGGCUUGACAUGUCGCGAAUCUUCUUGAAAGGGAAGAGUGCCUUCGGGAGCGCGAACACAGGUGGUGCAUGGCUGUCGUCAGCUCGUGUCGUGAGAUGUUGGGUUAAGUCCCGCAACGAGCGCAACCCUCGUUUUUAGUUGCCAGCACUUAGGGUGGGCACUCUAGAGAGACUGCCGGUGACAAACCGGAGGAAGGUGGGGAUGACGUCAAGUCAGCAUGCCCCUUACGCCUUGGGCUACACACGUACUACAAUGCUCCGGACAGAGGGCAGCAAGCUAGCGAUAGCAAGCUAAUCCCAUAAACCGGAGCUCAGUUCAGAUCGCAGGCUGCAACUCGCCUGCGUGAAGGAGGAAUCGCUAGUAAUUGCAGGUCAGCAUACUGCAGUGAAUUCGUUCCCGGGCCUUGUACACACCGCCCGUCACACCAUGGAAGCUGGUAGUGCCCGAAGUCAUUACUCCAACCUUUCGGGGGGGAGGAUGCCUAAGGCAGGACUGGUGACUGGGGGUGAAGUCGUAAC
rnacentral:rRNA from 1 species